rnacentral:tRNA from 1 species
CAAAGAAUAAUUUAUUAAAAAUACUGGUUUUGGAAAUCAGCAAUGAUAUAUCUUAUAUCUUUUUUGA